UACGUAGGGGGCAAGCGUUGUUCGGAAUUACUGGGCGUAAAGGGCGCGUAGGCGGCACGGCAAGUCAGGAGUGAAAGGCCUGGGCUCAACCGAGGAACUGCUUUUGAGACUGCCGAGCUAGAGUGCAGAAGGGGCAACUGGAAUUCCCAGCGUAGCGGUGAAAUGCGUAGAUAUUGGGAAGAACACCUGAGGCGAAGGCGGGUUGCUGGGCUGACACUGACGCUGAGGCGCGAAAGCCAGGGGAGCAAACGGG
rnacentral:rRNA from 1 species